UCCCUUAUCCUUUAUCCUUAAUAUACACUAUAAUAACCAUAUAUAUUCUCUUCUUAUUAGCAUACCCGCCGGAGGC
rnacentral:ribozyme from 1 species